UCGAGGCUGAAGAGCGUAGUCGAUGGGAACCAGGUGAAUAUUCCUGGACUUUGUAUAAGUGCGAAGGGGGGAUAGAGAAUACUAAGGCGCUUGAGAGAACUUGGGUGAAGGAACUAGGCAAAAUGGUACCGUAACUUCGGGAGAAGGUACGCCUUUUUUGGUGAGUUACCACGCGUAACGGAGCUGAGAAAGGCCGCAGAGACCAGGUGGCUGCGACUGUUUAUUAAAAACACAGCACUGUGCAAAUUCGUAAGAAGACGUAUACGGUGUGACGCCUGCCCGGUGCCGGAAGGUUAAUUGAUGGGGUCAUCUUCGGAGAAGCUCUUGAUCGAAGCCCCGGUAAACGGCGGCCGUAACAAUAACGGUCCUAAGGUAGCGAAAUUCCUUGUCGGGUAAGUUCCGACCUGCACGAAUGCGUAACGAUGGCCACACUGUCUCCACCCGAGACUCAGUGAAAUUGAAAUCGCUGUGAAGAUGCAGUGUACCCGCGGCUAGACGGAAAGACCCCGUGAACCUUUACUACAGCUUUGCACUGGACUUUGAUAAUAACUGUGUAGGAUAGGUGGGAGGCAAUGAAGUUAAGGCGCUAGCCUUGAUGGAGCCAACCUUGAAAUACCACCCUGUUGUUGUUGAGGUUCUAACUUAGUCCCGUAAUCCGGGACAAGAACAGUGUAUGGUGGGUAGUUUGACUGGGGCGGUCUCCUCCCAAAGAGUAACGGAGGAGCACAAAGGUACCCUCGGUACGGUCGGACAUCGUACCAAGAGUGUAAAGGCAAAAGGGUGCUUGACUGCGAGAGUGACAGCUCGAGCAGGUACGAAAGUAGGUCUUAGUGAUCCGGUGGUUCUGAAUGGAAGGGCCAUCGCUCAACGGAUAAAAGGUACUCCGGGAUAACAGGCUGAUACCGCCCAAGAGUUCAUAUCGACGGCGGUGUUUGGCACCUCGAUGUCGGCUCAUCACAUCCUGGGGCUGUAGCAGGUCCCAAGGGUAUGGCUGUUCGCCAUUUAAAGUGGUACGCGAGCUGGGUUUAGAACGUCGUGAGACAGUUCGGUCCCUAUCUGCCGUGGGCGUAGGAAAAUUGAGAGGAGCUGCUCCUAGUACGAGAGGACCGGAGUGGACGAACCUCUGGUGUACCGGUUGUCACGCCAGUGGCAUAGCCGGGUAGCUAAGUUCGGACGGGAUAACCGCUGAAAGCAUCUAAGCGGGAAGCCUCCCUCAAGAUGAGUUUUCCCAUGAAGCCCGUUGAAGACUACGACGUUGAUAGGAGAGGUGUGGAAGCACAGUAAUGUGUGUAGCUAACUCUUACUAAUUGGCUGAUUGUCUUGACCU
rnacentral:rRNA from 1 species